CCUACGGGUGGCAGCAGUGAGGAAUAUUGGUCAAUGGGCGGAAGCCUGAACCAGCCAAGUCGCGUGAGGGAUUAAGGCCCUGCGGGUCGUAAACCUCUUUUGCCGGGGAGCAGAGGUCCGGACGUGUCCGGGCCGGGAUAGUACCCGGAGACAAAGCAUCGGCUAACUCCGUGCCAGCAGCCGCGGUAAUACGGAGGAUGCGAGUGUUAUCCGGAUUUAUUGGGUUUAAAGGGGGCGUGGGCGGGCAUUUAAGCCGGCGGUGAAAUGUCGGGGCUCAACCCCGGCCUGCCGUCGGAACUGGGUGCCUUGAGUGGGCGAGAAGUAUGCGGAAUGCGUGGUGUAGCGGUGAAAUGCAUAGAUAUCACGCAGAACCCCGAUUGCGAAGGCAGCAUACCGGCGCCCUACUGACGCUGAGGCACGAAAGUGCGGGUAUCGAACAGGAUUAGAUACCCGAGUAGUC
rnacentral:rRNA from 1 species